GAUGAACGCUGGCGGCGUGCUUAACACAUGCAAGUCGAACGGAAAGGCCAGUGCUUGCACUGGUACUCGAGUGGCGAACGGGUGAGUAACACGUGGGUGAUCUGCCCUGCACUUCGGGAUAAGCCUGGGAAACUGGGUCUAAUACCGGAUAGGACAAUGGUUUGGAUGCCGUUGUGGAAAGUUUUUUCGGUGUGGGAUGAGCUCGCGGCCUAUCAGCUUGUUGGUGGGGUAAUGGCCUACCAAGGCGUCGACGGGUAGCCGGCCUGAGAGGGUGUACGGCCACAUUGGGACUGAGAUACGGCCCAGACUCCUACGGGGGGCAGCAGUGGGGAAUAUUGCACAAUGGGCGCAAGCCUGAGGCAGCGACGCCGCGUGGGGGAUGACGGCCUUCGGGUUGUAAACUCCUUUCGCUAGGGACGAAGCGUAUUUGUGACGGUACCUGGAGAAGAAGCACCGGCUAACUACGUG
rnacentral:rRNA from 1 species